UAGGUUCAAGUUUAUAAAGGAUGUGAAAGGGACUAGUAGCUCGAACAGGUAAUUUCUUGAACGAAUAUUUGGGAUAAUGUUCAAGAUGAAUACAAGCCAUCACAUAGUCACUUUCAUUAAAUUCUAUAAUUUCUACGGUGAGCAUCAGUAGCAAGUUUAUAUUUCUUAGAUGGCAAUCUUUUGCCAAAUAUUGGUAUGAACAUCACAAAUAUGUUGAGCAAAAGAGGUGAC
rnacentral:lncRNA from 1 species